rnacentral:lncRNA from 1 species
AAUAAUAUCGACACGAUAUCCAUAGUGGGAAUAAAUUCCAUGUGGAAAGCCUUUCCAUGAAUUAUUAAGUAAAGCAACUUGUCGUUUAGGACGGUUAUGGAAAAAAUUGGAAGUAACACAAGACGCUUUGUCAUAGAGUCUAUUGCCGUUUCGAACUUUCGAUUCAUUGUCUGGUUCAGCAUUAAUUCGUUGUGCGUUUGUGUAAAUUGCAUUGUGAUGUAAAAUGGAGGGAAAAACAUCCACUUGGAAAGACAAAGGAAUUUGAGAUUGACAAUCCAAAAUUUGGAGGUUCAUAUAAUUCUUUGAGAUUCCUGACUCGGGAGAAGUCAUGAACAAGCUGCUAUUAAAGCCAAAUAAACCGAGAUUUCUACUCGACAGGUCAAUGAAUGAGUUCUAUACUGUCAGAAGUCAAGUCAAUUACCCCAAGCUUCAAACACCCUACAGAAGUGGCUCAGAACAAUAGGAUGCACAUUUCUCUUUCAAAUUUGCAGAAUGCAGUCUUCCUGCUGGAUUAGGUUGAGAAAUUUAGGCAGGUUUAGUCGAUUAGCCAAACGUGAAUGCGACAAGAGCAGAUUUCCGUUCGACAUGGGAAAACUGGACUUACUAUUUUCCAUCGACUCAGCAAUUUGGGACAGCCAUGUUGGGGCAGUCAUGUUUGAAAUAAAGUUGAAGGAUGGUCAGCUGGAUUAGCAGGCUUGCUUGUAUGGAACAUCUAGAAAAGAUGGAGAAUAAAAGCUAGCUACUACUCCAACAUGAUUAAGGAGCUACUUGAGUUGGAUUACUGCUGCUGAUGCUGGACGCGUCAUUUAAAGGAAUAAUCCAGCGGAUCGCAAUCUUCCCGGAAGUUGGAAAUCAUCCUCCAGUACUCAACUGUUUUCUGCUUGUACAAUGUAUAGUCCUGGAAUCCCAUUGGAGUAUUGCACCACCACCAGUACAACGUUUCGGAAAACAGAGGAGAAAUGAUAGAAUGAAGGCUCGAAAUAUUGAUGAGACAAGGUGUCAACUGUUCUCUCGCCAGCCUUUAGCGUCGUUAUCAACAUUAAACCUCUUAGCGCAUCUCCUCUGCCGAGUUAGUUAAAGGCAGUAGCCAACGUUCGAGUACUACGGCGUACGAGAAUGUCCCACGUCUUACGAUGAUAACAGAUCUGACAUCCCCAACGAAUUUAUCUCAGGUGAAAAGCUCCAACGACGCAUCCGCACGAUCCGGGCAACUUGAAUUUUUCAAUGGCGAAAGGGAAAGUGUAGUCUUUUGGGUUGUAGACCAAGAAGCGAUGGAAAAUAUUUUUCUGGACGCACUUGGACUCGUAGCAGGAC